AAACCAAUCAGCAAAGACAUGAUGUUGUGGUGAUGCUGUUUCGCUUUAAUUUUUUUUUUUUUGUUAUGAGAAAAACGGUGUAUUUAAAAAUAAAUAUUUUUUUUAUUAAAUUUUAAUCGCAUUCAGAACACUGUACAUAAAAGUUGCCCACUUCAAUUUGUUGCUACCGCCGCCUCUUUUUCUGUUGCUAUCGUUGCUGAAACGUCACAUUUCCCCAGCUGUGUCGUCGGUUUAGCGACUAGCCUCAGCGCCGUUUUCGAACGAGCGUCUCAACUCAUUGCGCGUCCAAACAUCGCGGCGUGCAGUUCGUCAAUUCGCUUUAACUGCUAUUUGUCUUCUGCUCAUACAUAUUCCACUCGAGCUCGGUUUGUAUUGUCUUACCUUUCGUGCCGUUCAGUUCACUUCAGUUCAGUUGCGCUUAUUUGAGACGAAUUAACAAUGUUUGUCGGCGUUGCGCGUAAGACCGCGUAAUUCAAGUGUCAACAACGUUUUAAAAAAACUACCACGAUUUUCAUUGCUGGCUGCUGCGCUCACAUAUAUGCACGUCCAAAUGAAUAUAUAUGGUUGCGUGUAUGUAUACAUAGCGGUGUACAAUUGAUCAUAAAAUUUAUAGGCUUACCAGCAAAGGUAGCAGCAGUGAGUGAAUAAAGCGAAACAAUUAAGCGAUUAUUAAAAAGUAAUAAAAUCAAUUGAACCGGAAUAAUAAUAAAUAUAUUUACAUAUGUAUGCACAUAUGUACAUAUGCAGCAGCUGUGGAAAUUUAAUACGUGUUUACAUCAGCAACGCAAAAAAAUUGCAACAACAACAAACAACAAUUAAUUGUUUAACGUGAGGAAAAGUGCUCUAGAGUGAACUUUAAAAUACGCAUUUAAUAAAAGAAAAUUAAUAAUAAAACAUCUGGAUUUGUUUUUACACAUUUCGCACACACACACGAGUCUAUAUCAGAGUGAAAUUGUGUGAAACAAAAAGUGAUUAAACUCUCUUUUGUUUAAAAAAUAAUAUAAAAAUAAAUUUAGCAUAUUUAAUUAACA